AGACCGUGAUGUGGGUACUUCCUUAAUAGCUCCUUGAACCUUUCCCAUGUCUCGUAAAAGGAUUCCUCGUCUUCUUGAGAGUAUGUGUUAAUUUCGGUCAUGAGCUU
rnacentral:snoRNA from 1 species